UGAGUGAUGAAGGCCUUAGGGUCGUAAAGCUCUUUCGCCAGAGAUGAUAAUGACAGUAUCUGGUAAAGAAACCCCGGCUAACUCCGUGCCAGCAGCCGCGGUAAUACGGAGGGGGUUAGCGUUGUUCGGAAUUACUGGGCGUAAAGCGCGCGUAGGCGGACUAGUCAGUCAGGGGUGAAAUCCCGGGGCUCAACCCCGGAACUGCCUUUGAUACUGCUAGUCUAGAGUUCGAGAGAGGUGAGUGGAAUUCCGAGUGUAGAGGUGAAAUUCGUAGAUAUUCGGAGGAACACCAGUGGCGAAGGCGGCUCACUGGCUCGAUACUGACGCUGAGGUGCGAAAGUGUGGGGAGCAAACAGGAUUAGAUACCCUGGUAGUCCACACCGUAAACGA
rnacentral:rRNA from 1 species